rnacentral:rRNA from 1 species
UGGGGAAUAUUGGACAAUGGGGGCAACCCUGAUCCAGCCAUGCCGCGUGAGUGAUGAAGGCCUUCGGGUUGUAAAGCUCUUUCGCACGCGACGAUGAUGACGGUAGCGUGAGAAGAAGCCCCGGCUAACUUCGUGCCAGCAGCCGCGGUAAUACGAAGGGGGCUAGCGUUGUUCGGAAUUACUGGGCGUAAAGGGCGCGUAGGCGGCGCUUCAAGUCAGAUGUGAAAGCCCCGGGCCCCAACCUGGGAACAGCAUUUGAGACUGGAGUGCUUGAGUUCCGGAGAGGUGGGUGGAAUUCCCAGUGUAGAGGUGAAAUUCGUAGAUAUUGGGGAAGAACACCGGUGGCGAAGGCGGCCCACUGGACGGAUACUGACGCUGAGGCGCGAAAGCGUGGGGAGCAAACAGGAUUNGAUACCCUGGUAGUCCACGCCGUAAAAUCGAUGUCGGCUAGACGUUGGGGCCUCUUAGAGCUUCGGGUGCUCGCAGCUAACGCAUUAAGCGACCGCCUGGGGAGUACGGCCGCAAGGUUGAAACUCAAAUGAAUUGACGGGGUCAUAGCUGUUUCCC